GAUGAACGCUGGCGGCGUGCUUAACACAUGCAAGUCGAACGAUGAAGCCCAGCUUGCUGGGUGGAUUAGUGGCGAACGGGUGAGUAACACGUGAGUAACCUGCCCUUAACUCUGGGAUAAGCCUGGGAAACUGGGUCUAAUACCGGAUAGGAGCGUCCACCGCAUGGUGGGUGUUGGAAAGAUUUAUCGGUUUUGGAUGGACUCGCGGCCUAUCAGCUUGUUGGUGAGGUAAUGGCUCACCAAGGCGACGACGGGUAGCCGGCCUGAGAGUGUGACCGGCCACACUGGGACUGAGACACGGCCCAGACUCCUACGGGAGGCAGCAGUGGGGAAUAGUGCACAAUGGGCGCAAGCCUGAUGCAGCGACGCCGCGUGAGGGAUGACGGCCUUCGGGUUGUAAACCUCUUUCAGUAGGGAAGAAGCGAAAGUGACGGUACCUGCAGAAGAAGCACCGGCUAACUACGUG
rnacentral:rRNA from 1 species